AUGCUGAAAAUUCUCCAAGCCAGGCUUCAGCAAUAUGUGAACUGUGAACUCCCUGAUGUUCAAGCUGGUUUUAGAAAGGGCAGAGGAACCAGAGAUCAAAUUGCCAACAUCUGCUGGAUCAUGGAAAAAGCAAGAAAGUUCCAGAAAAACAUCUAUUUCUGCUUUAUUGACUAUGCCAAAGCCUUUGACUGUGUGGCUCACAAUAAACUGUGGAAAAUUCUGAAAGAGAUGGGAAUACCAGACCACCUAACCUGCUUCUUGAGAAAUCUGUAUACAGGUCAGGAAGCAACAGUUAGAACUGGACAUGGAACAACAGACUGGUUCCAAAUAGGAAAAGGAGUACAUCAAGGCUGUAUAUUGUCACCCUGCUUAUUUAACCUCUAUGCAGAGUACAUCAUGAGAAACGCUGGACUGGAAGAAACACAAGCUGGAAUCAAGAGUGCCGGGAGAAAUAUCAAUAACGUCAGAUAUGCAGAUGACAUCACCCUUAUGGCAGAAAGUGAAAAGGAACUAAAAAGCCUCUUGAUGAAAGUGAAAGAAGAGAGUGAAAAAGUUGGCUUAAAGCUCAAAAUUCAGAAAAUGAAGAUUAUGGCAUCUGGUCCCAUCACUUCAUGGGAAAUAGAUGGGGAAACAGUGGAAACAGUGUCAGACUUUACUUUUUUGGGCUCCAAAAUCACUGCAGAUGGUGGGUGCAGCCAUGAAAUUAAAAGACACUUACUCCUUGGAAGAAAAGUUAUGACCAACCUAGACAGUGUAUUCAAAAGCAGAAACAUUACUUUGCUGACUAAGGUCCUUCUAGUCAAGGGUAUGGUUUUUCCUGUGGUCAUGUAUGGAUGUGAGAGUUGGACUGUGAAGAAGGCUGAGCACCGAAGAAAUGAUGCAUUUAAACUGUGGUGUUGGAGAAGAUUCUUGAGGGUCCCUUGGACUGCAAGGAGAUCCAACCAGUCCAUUCUGAAGAUCAGCCCUGAGAUUUCUUUGGAAGGAAUGAUGCUAAAGCUGAAGCUCCAGUACUUUGACCACCUCAUGCAAAGAGUUGACUCAUUGGAAAAGACUCUGAUGCUGGGAGGGAUUGGUGGCAGGAGGAGAAGGGGACAACAGAAGAUGAGAUGGCUGGAUGGCAUCACGGACUUGAUGAACGUGAGUCUGAGUGAACUCCGGGAGAUGGUGAUGGACAGGGAGGCCUGGCGUGCUGUGGUUCAUGGGGUCGCAAAGAGUCGGACACGACUGAGUGACUGA
rnacentral:lncRNA from 1 species